rnacentral:tRNA from 1 species
ACCUGGCUGGUUCAGUCAGUAGAACAUGAGAUUCUUGAUCUCAGGGUUGUAAGUUCGAGCCCCACGUUGGGUG